AGAGUUUGAUCAUGGCUCAGAUUGAACGCUGGCGGCAUGCGUAACACAUGCAAGUCGAACGGUGUUUGGUGCUUGCACCAGACAUAGUGGCGGACGGGUGAGUAAUGCGUAGGAAUCUGUCUUAGAGAGGGGGACAACCCGAGGAAACUUGGGCUAAAACCGCAUAUUCUCGAGAGAGGAAAGCAGGGGACCGGAAACGGCCUUGUGCUCUAAGGUGAGCCUACGUCGGAUUAGCUAGUUGGUAGGGUAAAAGCCUACCAAGGCGAUGAUCUGUAGCUGGUCUGAGAGGACGGACAGCCACACUGGGACUGAGACACGGCCCAGACUCCUACGGGAGGCAGCAGUGGGGAAUAUUGGACAAUGGGGGGAACCCUGAUCCAGCGAUGCCGCGUGUGUGAAGAAGGCCUGCGGGUUGUAAAGCACUUUCAGUGGGAAAGAGAAGCGUCUUGUGAAUAAUGGGACGUGGAGACGUUACUCACAGAAGAAGCACCGGCUAACUCUGCG
rnacentral:rRNA from 1 species